GGGGGGGGGGGGGGGGGGGGGGGGGGUCAAGCAGAGAAGAAGAAUUGAAGGAACGAAUGGGUUAUCAAAUCUUGAUUUGCUUCUCUUGAGUGCUGAAAUUGUAUUGUGCACGCUGAAAGGGCUGAACUAUUCAUGAUUAAUAGUUUCAUAAAUGUGGAUUGUGUUUAGGCAUUAGCAAGGUUGGAGAUUCUAAUGUGUUCAAAAAGUGAACAUGGGACUUGGCUUACUGGGUCAUGUAACAGGUGAGUACCCUUGACACAACUUAUAUCUUUAUAAAUUGCAAUAUUUUUAUGCACUCUAGAAUGUACAAUGUUUUUUGCUAGCAAUGGUAGCAUGCCAAUCAGCCAAUGAGGUUGAUUUAUAUAUGGUUUUGGGUAAUUACUUGGUUUGGUGGUUACGUGACAUGGAAGUGUUGCCAUGGAAAUCUUCAAAGUAUAGCAUGGAAGUGAUGCUAUAUUUUCUUGAACUGACAGUGGUUUCCUUAAUAGACAAUGCGGCUUCUUCCACUUUCAGUGGGACCAGCUUUACUUGAGGAAAUCCCAUAUUUUGGACAUCAAUUACUCUUAACAAGCUCUUUCAAAAGUGGUAUGACUAUAGCUCACCCCAACAUCGUUUAUUGUUUUGGCAGGUGUUAUGAGAUGAGAAGUUGAAAGAAGCGGUCCACUGUGUACAUAGAACAACUACGCUGUACAAUGUUCGUUAUCCGGCAAUGUAUGCCUCAGAGUUUGUAAGAAAGGAUGCGAAGCUCUUCAACUGCAGCCAAGUUCAACAAGAGACCAACUGGACAAAAGGCAAAAUUUCAAUCACCUAUGAGGCAAAGCUGACUACCAUCUUGAGGAUUCCCCCCUUAGCUUGGUGGAUUAAACCUAUAGCUUGGCUUCAAUCUUUCUCCUUUACAGUUGAGCACUACAUACGUUCAGUCUUUGACUACUUUGGUCUAUUAUUUGGUUAGAGAUAUGGCAAAAAAAGGAGUGUAUGCGGGAAAGUAUUUUCUGCAAAAUUCACAAUGGGCACUGAUUUAUUGUUUACAUAUUGUGGAAUUUAUGAAGAAUGGGUACCAAACGGGGAGUAGAAAAUGAAACUUUUUCUAGACAAUUUGCUUAGGAUUUGCUUGAGGCUGUUGGCAUGAGGCGUGAGGCUGUUGGCACAGGCUGCAGACAGCUACUUAUGAUCAAACUUAUGCAUAC